rnacentral:snoRNA from 1 species
ACCCUCUCAGGGUCGCAACUGGAGAGUUUCCAGUACACUACCAGUCUCGGCUACAGGAGAGAGAGUCAGGCAGAGGCCUGACCAUUCCAUUCCUAGAUUGGCCAGUGGCUAGCGAGUGGAAGGCCAUCUGCUGCAAGU